rnacentral:rRNA from 1 species
GACCAGACUCCUACGGGAGGCAGCAGUGGGGGAUAUUGUACAAUGGGGGGAACCCUGAUGCAGCGACGCCGCGUGGGUGAAGAAGCGCCUCGGCGCGUAAAGCCCUUUCAGCAGGGAAGAAAAUGACGGUACCUGAAGAAGAAGCCCCGGCUAACUACGUGCCAGCAGCCGCGGUAAUACGUAGGGGGCAAGCGUUAUCCGGAUUUACUGGGUGUAAAGGGAGCGUAGACGGCAUGGCAAGCCAGAUGUGAAAUACCGGGGCUCAACCCCCGAACUGCAUUUGAAACUGUUGGUCUUGAGUAUCGGAGAGGCAGGCGGAAUUCCUAGUGUAGCGGUGAAAUGCGUAGAUAUUAGGAGGAACACCGGUGGCGAAGGCGGCCUGCUGGACUGCAACUGACGUUGAGGCCCGAAAGCGUGGGGAGCAAACAGGAUUAGAUACCCUAGUAA